AUUCAUUUAGUAAAGCGACUUAAGACAGCAGGUGUUACAUUAUUUGUAACAUAAUAUAGCCUGCCGAGGUCAGAUACUUGGCAAGGCAUGAAAACUUUGCGGUCUCUGGUCCUCACUAGAGACCGUUUUUUGGUUUCGUA
rfam:Megamonas hypermegale ART12/1 draft genome.